GUGAUGUUUAAUUUUAUGUGUCAACUUGACUGGGCUAAGGAAUGCCCAGAUAGCUGGCAAAACCUUAUUUCAGGGUGUGUCUAGGAGAGUGUUUCCAGAAGAGAUUGGCAAUUCGAAUGGAUGGAACAGGUUAAGAAGAUCUGGCCUCAUCAGUGUGGGCAGGCAUCAUCCAACCCUUGGAGGGCCCACCUGAAUAGAACAAAAAGGCAGGACUUUGGGACCAUAUCCUAUAAACAGAAGAAUGUCGUGGCAUGACGGCUUACACCUGUAAUCCUAGCACUUUCGGAAGGCUGACGUAGGAGGAUGGCUUGCAGUCAGGAGUUCAAGCGUCAUCUCUCUUCCUGAAGGCCAGACCAAGUGGAUAGUGUGUAUGUAGCCGCCAACAACUUUGGAGUCUGAACGUGGAAAGUAACCUGAAGCCACAAAUGUCUUUAAGUCGAAUAACUUCUGGACGCUAAGUCUCAGCGCUCUAAUACAAAAUGGCAAGAGAAUUAAGAACACAUCAGCCUGCUUUUACAAAAGAAAGGAAAAAUAUUACGUUUUUCUACUCACUUGGACUUCGAAUUGCAUUCUGGCA